UAGGGAAUAUUAGAAAUGGACGAAAGUCUGAUCUAGCAACACCGCGUGUGCGAAGAAGGCCUUAGGGUCGUAAAGCACUUUUUGGAAGGAUUAGGAAGGAAUGUACUUCCAGAAUAAGUCUCGGCUAACUACGUGCCAGCAGCCGCGGUAACACGUAGGAGGCGAACGUUAUCCGGAUUUACUGGGCGUAAAGCGCGUGUAGGUGGUUCUGUAAGUAGGGCGUGAAAGCUCCUGGCUCAACUGGGAGAGGCCGUUCUAAACUGCAGAGCUAGAGGAUGGUAGAGGGAGGUGGAAUUCCGGGUGUAGCGGUGGAAUGCGCAGAUAUCCGGAGGAACACCAGUGGCGAAGGCGGCCUCCUGGACCAUUCCUGACACUCAGACGCGAAAGCUAGGGUAGCAAACG
rnacentral:rRNA from 1 species